AUGAUGUUGCACGGUUUCCAAACAGAGGGAGUUUUGAGCGGAUGGAUUGAAGGUUUUUACGGCGGAAGGCUUGAUAAUAGAAUCAGAGGGAGAUCAUGUUUUUGGGAGGUGGGUUGCAAGUAUGGGAACGAAUUGAGAAGACAGAGGGAAAUUGGCGCGGUAAUUAGAAAGUUGGUGAGGAUGGAUUUGAAAAGAGGAACAGGUGAAGUGACCGGACAACUAGCAGAGGUAGGAGAGUGUAUUGAUGAGAUUGUAGAUAUGGUGAGAGGGUUUAUGUUGUGUGUUUAA